rnacentral:rRNA from 1 species
CCUACGGGAGGCAGCAGUGAGGAAUAUUCGUCAAUGGACGAGAGUCUGAACCAGCCAAGUAGCGUGAAGGAUGACUGCCCUAUGGGUUGUAAACUUCUUUUAUAUGGGAAUAAAAUGUUCCACGUGUGGGAUUUUGUAUGUACCAUAUGAAUAAGGAUCGGCUAACUCCGUGCCAGCAGCCGCGGUAAUACGGAGGCUCCGAGCUGUAUCCGGAUCUAUUUGGUUUAAAGGGAGCGUAGGUGGAUGGUGAAGUCAGUUGUGAAAGUUUACGGCUAAACCGUAAAAUUGCAGUUGAAACUGGCAGUCUUGAGUACAGUAGAGGUGGGCGGAAUUCGUGGUGUAGCGGUGAAAUGCGUAGAUAUAACGAAGAACUCCGAUUGCGAAGGCAGCUCACUGGACUGCAACUGACACUGAGGCUCGAAAGUGUGGGUAUCAAACAGGAUUAGAUACCCGUGUAGUC